rnacentral:rRNA from 1 species
AUACGGAGGGUGCAAGCGUUACUCGGAAUCACUGGGCGUAAAGCGCGCGCAGGCGGUCUUUUAAGUUGGAUGUGAAAGCCUACGGCUCAACCGUAGAACUGCAUCCAAAACUAUUAGACUAGAGGGUGGGAGAGGAAGAUGGAAUUAGUUGUGUAGGGGUAAAAGCCGUAGAGAUAACUAGGAAUACCAAAAGCGAAGGCAAUCUGCUGGAACACUACUGACGCUGAGGCGCGAAAGCGUGGGGAGCAAACAGGAUGAGAAACCCCAGUAGUCC